rnacentral:rRNA from 1 species
UACGGAAGGGGCAAGCGUUGUUCGGAAUCAUUGGGCGUAAAGGGCGCGUAGGUGGUUCUGUAUGUCUACCGUGAAAGCGUACGGCUCAACCGUAUUUUGUCGGUGGAAACUGCAGGACUUGAGGCUGGGAGGGGCUGGUGGAAUUCCCUGUGUAGCGGUGAAAUGCGUAGAGAUGGGGGAGAACACUCGUGGCGAAGGCGGCCAGCUAGACCAGUUCUGACACUGAGGCGCGAAAGCGUGGGGAGCAAACAGG